CUUAAAAGUACCAAAGCUCUCUUCAAGAUCAGCGUACAUCGACCAGACUUUGAGCGACUUGUAUAAUCUCAUCUGAACAGUUUCAGUCUCAUCGUGAUACGCAACUUUCCGCGACGGCAUAGCCGUUGCACGAUGCAUCAGUUUUAAAGCCUCUUUGCAAUUGUCGUGUCUGAUCUCCAUUUCCGCCCAUUCGCACCAAACCGAGGCAAGAUCGUCAACUUUUGUGUAUGGAACGUGUGUCGCUUUUUCAAAUACCACUCUGGCAUCGGCAAUCUGACCAUUUUCCUCAUAGAAUUUCGCAAAUGCCACCCACAAAGUGUGUAGCUUUCCCACAGCCUGCUGGGGCAGAACUGUUUGAACUGCUUCGGUAUACCCGGGAUUUGGGCUGCGUACCUCGUGGGGCUGACCCUCGUACAGCAUAACUCUUUUGUGCCACUCUUGAACAUUGUGCGGAUUUUGCCUGAGCAGGACACUGUUUAGUAGCAGCAAUCUCCGCUCCAUCAGGUGUUCAAACCUGGCCAAUCUAAGUUCCAAUUCAAUAUCAUC
rnacentral:misc_RNA from 1 species